AGUAGCAAUACUUUGGUGGCGACCGGCGCACGGGUGAGUAACGCGUAUGCAACCCAUCUAUCAGAGGGGAAUAACCCGGCGAAAGUCGGACUAAUACCGCAUAAAACAGGGACACCGCAUGGUGAUAUUUGUUAAAGAAAUUCGCUGAUAGAUGGGCAUGCGUUCCAUUAGGUAGUUGGUGAGGUAACGGCUCACCAAGCCGACGAUGGAUAGGGGAACUGAGAGGUUGGUCCCCCACACUGGUACUGAGACACGGACCAGACUCCUACGGGAGGCAGCAGUGAGGAAUAUUGGCCAAUGGGCGAGAGCCUGAACCAGCCAAGUCGCGUGAAGGAAGAAGGAUCUAUGGUUCGUAAACUUCUUUUGCAGGGGAAUAAAGUGCAGGACGUGUCCUGUUUUGUAUGUACCCUGAGAAUAAGGAUCGGCUAACUCCGUGCCAGCAGCCGCGGUAAUACGGAGGAUCCGAGCGUUAUCCGGAUUUAUUGGGUUUAAAGGGUGCGUAGGUGGUUUGAUAAGUCAGCGGUGAAAGUUUGCAGCUUAACUGUAAAAAUGCCGUUGAAACUGUCGGACUUGAGUGUAAAUGAGGUAGGCGGAAUGCGUGGUGUAGCGGUGAAAUGCUUAGAUAUCACGAAGAACUCCGAUUG
rnacentral:rRNA from 1 species